AACGAACGCUGGCGGCAUGCCUAACACAUGCAAGUCGAACGAUACCUUCGGGUCUAGUGGCGCACGGGUGCGUAACGCGUGGGAACCUGCCCUUAGGUUCGGAAUAACUCCCCGAAAGGGGUGCUAAUACCGGAUAAUGUCUUCGGACCAAAGAUUUAUCGCCUUUGGAUGGGCCCGCGUUGGAUUAGCUAGUUGGUAGGGUAAAAGCCUACCAAGGCGACGAUCCAUAGCUGGUCUGAGAGGAUGAUCAGCCACACUGGGACUGAGACACGGCCCAGACUCCGACGGGAGGCAGCAGUGGGGAAUAUUGGACAAUGGGCGAAAGCCUGAUCCAGCAAUGCCGCGUGAGUGAUGAAGGCCUUAGGGUUGUAAAGCUCUUUUACCCGCGAUGAUAAUGACAGCACCGGGAGAAUAAGCUCCGGCUAACUCCGUG
rnacentral:rRNA from 1 species